GUCGGACAGUCUGUCGCUGGUGUAUUUAAUAAAUGCAAAAGAGGAAAGUCCGGGCAACACAGAGCAUCCUACUUCCUAACAGAAAGCUAUCCGCGAGGGUGGAGUAAUGCAGAAGAAAAUAACCGCCUUUCUCCGUAAAGGCAAGGGUGAGAAGGUAGGGUAAGAGCCUACCAGCUGUAUGGCGACAUACAGGCUGUGCAUCUUAGGAGUUGUAAGGUCAUGUAAACCGGCAUUAACGAGGGUUGCUCGCCCCACGUCGGAGGGUGGACCGCUAGAGCUUUUCGGUGACGUGAAGCGUAGAUAAAUGACAGGCAUCCCGUUUAUCGGGAAACAGAACCCGGCUUAUCGGCCGACUGC
rnacentral:RNase_P_RNA from 1 species